UGGACUACUAAUUGCUUUGUUUCAAUAGGAGUACAUGGAGGGACCCUCUCCUGUGUUCUGUUGAGAAGAUAUAGCACAGACUGAGAAGUCUCUUCAUACAGUGUCAAAAAGUGACCUUGCUCUCUUCAGCCCGCUGAAGUCUGCUGGAACCUGCCAUGAUUUCUUGUCUUUUGUUAUUGAGCUUCCUUCUGAGAGCCUGAGCUGCCUAAAGAGAAUGGGCACCAGAAUAGAAUCAAACACAGUCUUUGGAUUUGCACCAACUCCAACAGAUGCAGUGAAUUUGCACUAAAACUGUCCAAAAUCUGGAUUGAGUUCAAGUUCAUUGGCAUCCUUACAAAUCUAUCCAGAUUGACCAACUCAUGUAUGAAGAACUCCUUUUCAUCUCCUGUCCUAGUGCUAUCUACGCUCACAGCCUGAU
rnacentral:lncRNA from 1 species